rnacentral:rRNA from 1 species
CCGGCUAACUCCGUGCCAGCAGCCGACGGUAAUACGGAGGGUGACAAACGUUGCUCGGAAUUAUUGGGGCGUAAAGCGCACGUAGGCGGUCCGCUAAGUCGGAUGUGAAAGCCCUCGGCUUAACCGAGGAAGUGCAUCCGAAACUGACGGGCUAGAGUACGGGAAAGAGGGGGGUGGAAUUCCCACGUGUAGCAGUGAAAAUGCGUAGAGAUGUGGAGGAACACCGAUGGCGAAGGCAGCCCCCUGGGCCAAUACUGACGCUCAUGCACGAAAGCGUGGGGAGCAAACAGGAUUAGAUACCCUGGUAGUCCACGCCCUAAACGAUGUCAACUAGGUGUUGGGAGGGUUAAACCUUUUAGUGCCGUAGCUAACGCGUGAAGUUGACCGCCUGGGGAGUACGGCCGCAAGGCUAAAACUCAAAGGAAUUGACGGGGACCCGCACAAGCGGUGGAUGAUGUG